GACGAACGCUGGCGGCGUGCUUAACACAUGCAAGUCGAACGGAAAGGCCCUGCUUUUGUGGGGUGCUCGAGUGGCGAACGGGUGAGUAACACGUGAGUAACCUGCCCUUGACUUUGGGAUAACUUCAGGAAACUGGGGCUAAUACCGGAUAGGAGCUCCUGCUGCAUGGUGGGGGUUGGAAAGUUUCGGCGGUUGUGGAUGGACUCGCGGCUUAUCAGCUUGUUGGUAGGGUAGUGGCUUACCAAGGCUUUGACGGGUAGCCGGCCUGAGAGGGUGACCGGCGACAUUGGGACUGAGAUACGGCACAGACUCCUACGGGAGGCAGCAGUGGGGAAUAUUGCACAAUGGGGCGAAGCCUGAUGCAGCAACGCCGCGUGCGGGAUGACGGCCUUCGGGUUGUGAACCGCUUUCGCCUGUGACGAAGCGUGAGUGACGGUAAUGGGUAAAGAAGCACCGGCUAACUACGUG
rnacentral:rRNA from 1 species